rnacentral:lncRNA from 1 species
GACAAGUGAAGGGGCACGCCAAGCAGGAAUCAGGGGAGGGGGUCUCUGGAAUGUGGUCGUUGCUGCUCGUUUCUAAUGCCAUCGGUCGUUGAUGGAUGUUCUGUACCUCCCUCUCUUUCAGGCUGCUGCCAUCACCACUCUCAAAUGAAAAAAGUUAUGGUCCGUUGUUAGUUGAUACUGUUUUUUGUUUUGUUCUUUUGUUUAGAAAAAAAUCAAGUGGACUUCAGUUAGCUAUUGCAGGAGAAGACAAAAAAAUGCAAGAUUUAGUUUGUAAUUAUUGAAGAAAUCUGAUGUAGUUCGUUUGUGUGAUGACUUUGAUUCGCUAUGUAAAAAGAAAAUGGAAAACCCACGAUGAAGCCCUUCUUUUGUAAAGAGCACUUCACUUCGUCCUUGUGCCAAAACUACAAACAAAAAUGAACGGCAAAAAACAAAUAUAUAAAAUGCUGCAGCCCUCUUCGUCUGUGUGUACGCUGGCGUCGACGAGCCUACGGAAGCAGCUCUCUGCUCAACUUGUUGCGGUUCCCUGGCGGCGGGAGAGAAGUGCACUGCUAUAGGGUGCUAUCCCUAACGGGGGCAGGGGGUCAGCCGCUGCAGUGCAGCUCAAAAACAUGUGCCAGAUGGUUCGGUGCUUUGGCCAGGAUGGCGACGAGUGCUGCUCUGGGUCAACGCCAUUGUGUCUCCUUCUGCCGAGUGCAGUACUCACCUCACUGCGCUGCAGUCCGUAUUUCCAGUGCUUGCAGCUCGCAACCCGCCAAUGUGCCGUCAAGCAAAAAUUCUGCAGUGCACUUGCCCAUGAGAAGUUCACUUCUUUUUCUAAUGCACUUUGUUUCGUUUGUGGCUCUCGAAAACAUGCAUAGAAGAAAAGAAAAAAAUUAAGUGCAGCUCACUUGUUUUAUUGCUGUAGUGAUCUUCUAUCUCCGAGCGGUUCACUAUGUUGCCAAGUGCAAAAACAAAAUGGAAGAAAACAAACUGGAAAAAGUUGAUUUUUUUAAUGGAGCUCACUCUGUUGUUUGUGUGCAGUAGAAAGAAAAUUGGAAAAGAACAAUUGAUGCAGUACACUCACCUCGUCCCUAGAGUGCGUACUCGUUGAUAAAAAAACAUUAUGGAGGCGAUAAAAGAAAAAUAAUGUGGUUCACUUUUCAUAGUAUUGAGGUUCACCAACGCUCGACAUGAAGUGCACUCCACCUUGUUUGGAAAAGUGGAAAAAAUUUAGUCCCACAAAACAUAAAUCAUGCAGUGCACUUGCCCGUCCGAUGAAGUGCGAGUUUUAGUCUAAAUAAGUGCACUCCACCUCGUUUAGAAAUAUUUACGUCACACAAAAAAGAAAUCAUGCAGUGCACAUGUCUGUCCAAUGAAGUGCGGUUUUUAGUCCAAAUAAGUGUGGUUUUCUGUCUGAUGCAGUACGGCCCGUUUACGGUAGUCCCGAGGUUCACUUUUCAUAGUCUUGCGGUUUACCAACACUCGACAUGAAGUGCACUCCACCUCGUUUGCGAAAAUUUACAUCCCACAAAAAAGAAAUCAUGCAGUGUACUUGUUUGUCUAAUGAAGUGCGGUUGUUCGUCCGAUGCAGUGCGGUUUUCAGUCGGAUGAAGUACCCACGUCGAUUUGGGUGUCGCGAAAAACAGAGUGUCCGCAUUUCGGUAAAUUUAAAACUGCUCUUAAACUGUAAGGAAUUAGAGAGAGUGUUCUACAUGAAAAACUUGCGUCUCGUCGAUAUCUUUCCAACGGCAUAUCAUUUGAAUCAUUUCGACAACCGGUUUGUAAAAAUUUCGCGAAAAACGGCCGCUGCCACUCGUCGUCUGCCGCAUGAUUUUCAAAAUUAACUUAAAACUGUAAGGAAUCUCAAAACCAUUUCUACAUAUGAAAGUUGCACCUUGUCCAUAGCUUUCCAACGACGUAUUACACGCCUCGUUUCGACAAACGAUUCAAAAACUAGAGCAAAAACAGUACCGAAAAUUGCAAAAAUUUCAAAAAAAACAUAAUUCCGCGAUUUAGUAAAUUCGAAAUUGCUCUUGAACCGUAACGAAUUAGAGAAAAUAAUAGAUACGAAAAAGAUGCGCCUUGACGAUAUCUUUCCGAUGAGUGGUUAAGAAAAAAUCACAAAAAAUAUGCUCGCUGCCACUCGUCAUCCGCCGCACCAUUUUUGAAACUGCUCUUAAACCGAGAAGAAUCUCGAAAAGUGUUCAACAUGGCGAAGUUGCGCCUAAUCAAUAGCUUUUCAACGGUAUAUUAUACGCCUUGUUUCGAUAAACGGUUAAAAAAUUAGAGCGAAAACAGUACCGGAAAAACACUACGUGCAACUUUUUUCGACACGAAGUUCAUUCGUGUGAGUACUGCAGCACACUUGGUUCAAACAAUGACGUGCACUUGCAUUGAGCGUGCAGUGCGGAAGUGUUAUCAGAAUAACUAUUCUGAUAAUAUUAUCAGAAUAGACCGGAUGUGUGUGUAUAUAUAUAGGGCUGGAAUAUUCUGUUACCUGUAACAGAAUAUUAUUCUGUUACCCCCGCGCCCUAUAUAGAGCGAUGAGAGCCAAAAAGCACAACUAAUCUUUCCGGCCCGACAGAAGCCUCUCAUCCUCCUAGACCCACGCGACCAGGAUCCCCUCCCCCCAGCGUGCCGUCGGCCGGUCCUCGGCCCCUCCCCUUGCGCGCCGUCGGGCGUCCCCUCCUCUUGUGCGCCGCCGGCCGGCCCCUCCUCUUGCGCGCCGCCGACCGCCCCACCUCUCCCAGCGCGCCGCCGCGGAUCCCCUCUCCCUCACUCCCGGCGGCGCCCCGCCUCCACCUUCUCCCUCACUCUCGGCGCCACCCGACCCCCAACCUCCAUGGAUUCCGGCGGCGCCCCGCCCUCACCACCACCCUUUCUCCCGGCCGUCCCUGCCGCCUGUGCGCGUGAGGUCCGGCGGCCACCUCUGCUCAAAACUGCACGCACGCGAGGGCAUCCCAGCCGCCGUGUCUUCAGCUCUUGUUCAACAAUAAAACCACCAGCAGUCCAUGCUAAUUUUUUUUCUUCCAUCUCUACUGCUCUUCUCUCACUAAUUUGUUUUCUGUCUGAACUGCAGCACAAGGGAGAUUGAACGGGUUGCAGAUUGGGGGUUCGGCUGCCCCUGCGUCCAGCAGUCCAACCCAGUAGCCCCAGGACGUCCAGCGACCUGUCGGGCUAUGGUAUGCCAUUGCAAGUCGGCGAGCAACAUUAGCGACCGUACUCUCCAAACGCCCGAUGUUCGUGUCUCCUCUCUCUCACCCAUACUUGCAGCAUGUAUGCCAUGGAUUUUGUGAAUGGAAAAAAAUCCCUCUGUAAUUCUCUCGAUUCCAAUAAUUAUUUCAGACUGUGAUAGGCAUGCAUUUGAAUUUGGUAAGCACAUGUACUCUGCUGCCCAUAACCUCAUUGUUAUGUUUAUGAGAAUUGGACAAUCUUUUUAGUUUUAUUUUCACAAUAACUAGUCCUAGCUAAGUAUAUAUUGAUGCAUCCAGAGGUACUAACGUAUUAAAUCUUGCAAAUUAGGAUUUUAACUCCUUUGAUAAUGAUGUUGAAAUUUUGAUUGAGCACGAACACUAAAAUGGCAGAGGAUUCGCUAUUGGCACUGCAACUUAUUUCCCAUAAUCUUUUACUGAACUUUGAUUAAAUAUUUCUAGCUUUUCCUUAACAAAGUUCAUGAAAAAAAUAACUGAGCUGUAUUACAGCUAGCUUCGAUAGUAGGAUCCGAAAAUGGGAAGGUGCAUGCAACCAAUUAAAACCUGCUUUUUUUAUUAAUCCUGUAAUUUUCUGCACUCUAAUUUGUCUUUUGUCCAUUCUGCUCCGCUCGCUGCCUCGUACUUGACCUUCCCGCUCCUCCACCCCUGCACUGCCGCUCCCUCCUGCUGUCCUCACCCACAAGCUCGGUCCCUCGACAGAAAUUGCUGAAUCCUACUGGUGCUGCUUCUCCGAUGAGGUCAUCGUGCUGCACAUGCGCUGGCAAACGACAUCAUCUCUGGUUUUGUUUCCCUUGACACUCGGUAAGACAGGAAAUUCUUCAGUGCUAGUUCAAUGAAAGAAACAGCAGCAGUUCACUAAUCUAAAAAAAAUCACAUUUUUGGACGCACGCCAAGUGUAUGCUACAAUGUCAGUGCACCGGACUACUAGCUUUGCUCUGUUCAUCGUUUAUUUGUAGCUACCUUGUACUUCAAAAUUGCUAGAGACGGCAUGCUCCCUUGGCUUCAACUACGCCGCGGGCUUGCUCCACUUGUCUUCCACAGCGCCACCGGCAGACAAGCCUGGAUGUCGUCAUCCGAACCGCCGCACCGCCCGGCCGCCACGCUCCUCCAGCUACCAUCUGGCGGCGCGCGGUGCUCCAAGCACGUCCUCUGGAUGCCCCCUCCUCUUGCCUACUCCCUGCGAAGCGCCCGGCUGUCUCCCUCCUGCCCCGUCCGUCCAGGUAUGGUACUCACACCAGUUCAAGUAGUGAUAUUGCGACAAGUACAGCUCCUCCCCUGUCAAGCUUAGUGCGCCAAAAAAGAGCAUAUUGAUGGAUGAUUGCUAGCUCGCUUCAUCAUUGGCUGAUUUUCCCGUCUACUAACUUGUGGUUAAUUCCUUCUAUCCUUCUGUUGUAUCUUUAUUUGGAGAUUUAUACUUGUGGAUGCCCAGCUUGUCAUGAAAAGUUCCAAAAAUUGUCGUAUAUUAAGUUCAAAUGUCUCACUUAUGAGUAGAACUUUUGUAGUUUGCUUGAACUGAUAGUUGAGACUUGCUGAGCCUCCAUGCUUUGUAGUUUGUGUGAAUUGAUAGUUGAGACUCGAUGAACUCUGUCCGUCUCGACUGUUGAACUGUAGCUGAUGGUUUUGUUUCUUUCGUAGGCUUAAGAUCGUCCUAUAUAGAUCAGCGGUUACUAUUUCUUUGCUCUGACUAUAUUUCUCAAUAGCAUUUUGUUUCUAUAAGUUUGUUGAAACCUACCUAAUAUAUAGCUAAUUCAACAUCCGACAUUUCUGCUGCAUUUGUAUGCCCACACCCUCAUAUGUUUGUACAAAAAAGAAAAUGGAUGUUAGAGUGGGUGAUUAAAAAACUCAAUGUUCUUCUGUUAUUCGAGCAGGCACCUGAAAAAAAUGUUCACCUUGGUUAGAUGAACCAAACGGGUCGUGUACUUCUUCUCUUAUUUGAGGAGGCACCUGAAAAAAAAUAAACAGAAUAAAUAAGAUGGCAGUAACAACCAGGUUGAACUUUUUAUAAUUUUCUGUGUAUGAUUGCAGUACUUUUUGUAAAAAAAAA